rnacentral:rRNA from 1 species
UACGUAGGGUGCGAGCGUUAAUCGGAAUUACUGGGCGUAAAGCGUGCGCAGGCGGUUUUGUAAGCCAGAUGUGAAAUCCCCGGGCUUAACCUGGGAAUGGCAUUUGGGACUGCAAGGCUUGAGUGCGGCAGAGGAGACUGGAAUUCCUGGUGUAGCAGUGAAAUGCGUAGAUAUCAGGAGGAGCACCGAUGGCGAAGGCAGGUCUCUGGGCUGACACUGACGCUCAUGCACGAAAGCGUGGGGAGCAAACAGG